rnacentral:rRNA from 1 species
GACCGGGAUGGACAUACCUCUGGUGUACCAGUUGUCGUGCCAACGGCAUAGCUGGGUAGCUAUGUAUGGACGGGAUAAGUGCUGAAAGCAUCUAAGCAUGAAGCCCCCCUCAAGAUGAGAUUUCCCAACUUCGGUUAUAAGAUCCCUCGAAGAUGACGAGGUUAAUAGGUUCGAGGUGGAAGCGUGGUGACACGUGGAGCUGACGAAUACUAAUCGAUCGAAGACUUAAUCAA